rnacentral:rRNA from 1 species
UGGGGAAUUUUGGACAAUGGGCGAAAGCCUGAUCCAGCAAUGCCGCGUGUGUGAAGAAGGCCUUCGGGUUGUAAAGCACUUUUGUCCGGAAAGAAAUCCUUGGCUCUAAUACAGUCGGGGGAUGACGGUACCGGAAGAAUAAGCACCGGCUAACUACGUGCCAGCAGCCGCGGUAAUACGUAGGGUGCAAGCGUUAAUCGGAAUUACUGGGCGUAAAGCGUGCGCAGGCGGUUUGCUAAGACCGAUGUGAAAUCCCCGGGCUCAACCUGGGAACUGCAUUGGUGACUGGCAGGCUAGAGUAUGGCAGAGGGGGGUAGAAUUCCACGUGUAGCAGUGAAAUGCGUAGAGAUGUGGAGGAAUACCGAUGGCGAAGGCAGCCCCCUGGGCCAAUACUGACGCUCAUGCACGAAAGCGUGGGGGAGCAAACAGGAUUAGAUACCCUGGUAGUCCACGCCCUAAACGAUGUC